CAGGCUUAACACAUGCAAGUCGAGGGGCAGCAUGGUCUUAGCUUGCUAAGGCCGAUGGCGACCGGCGCACGGGUGAGUAACACGUAUCCAACCUGCCGUCUACUCUUGGACAGCCUUCUGAAAGGAAGAUUAAUACAAGAUGGCAUCAUGAGUCCGCAUGUUCACAUGAUUAAAGGUAUUCCGGUAGACGAUGGGGAUGCGUUCCAUUAGAUAGUAGGCGGGGUAACGGCCCACCUAGUCUUCGAUGGAUAGGGGUUCUGAGAGGAAGGUCCCCCACAUUGGAACUGAGACACGGUCCAAACUCCUACGGGAGGCAGCAGUGAGGAAUAUUGGUCAAUGGGCGAGAGCCUGAACCAGCCAAGUAGCGUGAAGGAUGACUGCCCUAUGGGUUGUAAACUUCUUUUAUAAAGGAAUAAAGUCGGGUAUGGAUACCCGUUUGCAUGUACUUUAUGAAUAAGGAUCGGCUAACUCCGUGCCAGCAGCCGCGGUAAUACGGAGGAUCCGAGCGUUAUCCGGAUUUAUUGGGUUUAAAGGGAGCGUAGAUGGAUGUUUAAGUCAGUUGUGAAAGUUUGCGGCUCAACCGUAAAAUUGCAGUUGAUACUGGAUAUCGUGAGUGCAGUUGAGGCAGGCGGAAUUCGUGGUGUAGCGGUGAAAUGCUUAGAUAUCACGAAGAACUCCGAUUGCGAAGGCAGCCUGCUAAGCUGCAACUGACAUUGAGGCUCGAAAGUGUGGGUAUCAAACAGGAUUAGAUACCCUGGUAGUCCACACGGUAAACGAUGAAUACUCGCUGUUUGCGAUAUACUGCAAGCGGCCAAGCGAAAGCGUUAAGUAUUCCACCUGGGGAGUACGCCGGCAACGGUGAAACUCAAAGGAAUUGACGGGGGCCCGCACAAGCGGAGGAACAUGUGGUUUAAUUCGAUGAUACGCGAGGAACCUUACCCGGGCUUAAAUUGCAGAUGAAUUACGGUGAAAGCCGUAAGCCGCAAGGCAUCUGUGAAGGUGCUGCAUGGUUGUCGUCAGCUCGUGCCGUGAGGUGUCGGCUUAAGUGCCAUAACGAGCGCAACCCUUGUUGUCAGUUACUAACAGGUUCCGCUGAGGACUCUGACAAGACUGCCAUCGUAAGAUGUGAGGAAGGUGGGGAUGACGUCAAAUCAGCACGGCCCUUACGUCCGGGGCUACACACGUGUUACAAUGGGGGGUACAGAGGGCCGCUACCACGCGAGUGGAUGCCAAUCCCCAAAACCUCUCUCAGUUCGGACUGGAGUCUGCAACCCGACUCCACGAAGCUGGAUUCGCUAGUAAUCGCGCAUCAGCCACGGCGCGGUGAAUACGUUCCCGGCCCUUGUACACACCGCCCGUCAAGCCAUGGGAGCCGGGGGUACCUGAAGUGCGUAACCGAGAGGAGCGCCCUAGGGUAAAACUGGUGACUGGGG
rnacentral:rRNA from 1 species